rnacentral:rRNA from 1 species
AGUGCCGUCGAUACUGUAAGGCUAGGAUUUAGUUGCUGUGGGUGGAAUGUGUGGUGUAGCGGUGAAAUGCUUAGAUAUCACACAGAAUAUCGAUUGCGAAGGCAGCUCACAAAGCCAAGAUUGACGCUGAGGCACGAAAGUGUGGGGAUCAAACAGGAUUAGAUACCCUGGUAGUGCACACUGUAAACGAUGAUAACUCGCUGCCGGCGAUACACAGUCGGUGGUCAAGCGAAAGCGAUAAGUUAUCCACCUGGGGAGUACGACCGCAAGGUUGAAACUCAAAGGAAUUGACGGGGGCCCGCACAAGCGGAGGAACAUGUGGUUUAAUUCGAUGAUACGCGAGGAACCUUACCCGGGCUCGAACGGUGCAUGAAUAUACAAGAGAUUGUAUAGUCCUUCGGGACAUGUAUCGAGGUGCUGCAUGGUUGUCGUCAGCUCGUGCCGUGAGGUGUCGGCUUAAGUGCCAUAACGAGCGCAACCCUUGUCAUUAGUUACCAUCAGGUCAAGCUGGGGACUCUAAUGAGACUGCCACCGUAAGGUGUGAGGAAGGGGGGGAUGACGUCAAAUCAGCACGGCCCUUAUGUCCGGGGCGACACACGUGUUACAAUGGGGGGUACAGAGGGCAGCCAUCCGGCGACGGAGCGCCAAUCUCAAAAACCCUUCUCAGUUCGGAUUGGAGUCUGCAACUCGA